rnacentral:tRNA from 1 species
GCGGGGGUACCAUAGCCAGGUCAAAUGGGCAGUGGGCCACUGGAACGUGCCCGCCUCGGGCUUAGGACCCUGUGGCGAAGGCCUUCGUGGGUUCGAAUCCCACCCCCCGCACCA